rnacentral:rRNA from 1 species
UACGUAGGGUGCGAGCGUUGUCCGGAAUUAUUGGGCGUAAAGAGCUCGUAGGCGGCUGUUCAAGUCGAACGUGAAAACUCGGAGCUCAACUCCGAGCCUGCGUUCGAUACUGGACGGCUAGAGUCUGGUAGGGGGAUCUGGAAUUCCUGGUGUAGCGGUGAAAUGCGCAGAUAUCAGGAGGAACACCAAUGGCGAAGGCAGCUCGCUGGGACGGUACUGACGCUGAGACGCGAAAGCGUGGGGAGCAAACAGG